rnacentral:misc_RNA from 1 species
UGGAACGUCUCGAAAAUUUCAGAAUCGUGCACGGGUUAAAGUUCUCCCUGAUACAUCUAAAGCAUCUGAGAUGACAUCCUCAGCAUUAGCAGCUAGUCAUGGCUGUUUAACCCUGUUGAAAAAGAAGCGUUCGGGAGGAAGCCGGCCUCGAGCUGUUGGAAAACGAACCCCACGCUUUCCUGUAUCUUUUUCUUACGAGAAUCCCAAGGGUGAGAAGUAUUUUUCUCCAAGUAGGCAAAGUUUGAAACUGCAGGCAGAUGAUAGUGAUGAUGAUGUGAAGAUAGCAUUAGUUUUAACAGAAGCUUCACAAAGA